GGAGGCGCUCGAGCUUGGCAUGCUCGUCGGCGACACCGGGCCCCUCCCUCCUCCUGUUGCCUCGCCGCCGCCAUGAGCCCUCCACCCUCUCCUGUGUGAUUGUACAGCUCCAGGCAGUCUGUUGGCACAAUGAAUAAUGUCUGCUCUUCGACUGGAGCAGUUCUUCCCUGUUGGUAAUCAGAGGAUACAUGCUACUAAUUCUUUAACUGAAAUUAAUUUUCAGUUUGAUCCAAGAGCAAAUCAUGAACCUCAAGUUUUCUUAGCACCUAUGCCAAAGAGAAGAAGGUUAGUUUCUUUCAAGAAUGAAAGAACUGGUACCAAAGGAACUGUUGUCAGUAAAAGACAUUAUGGGAAGCAAGCUGACACCCCACCGCAACCUGUGCCUAAAGCAAAUGAAGCAAGUGCAGGGGCCAACCCUUUUCUAUGGAGCACAAUUUCAAGCUCAUCAACCAACAUAACCUUUGGCACUAAUAGCAAUCGCACAUAUUGUGGACAGCUUCACAAUGUGUCCCUCACUGAGAAAUCACCAUGAAUGUUCCCUUUCAAGUCACUUCAUAAGUUGUUCUGUUAUUGGGCUUUGUUAGAUAAGCUGAUUUAACUGAGUAUUAUUCUGCUCUAGAUUGUUGCUUCUGGUUGUGAGUGAAUCUAAGAGUUAACAUGGUACAAUAUCUUCUCGAAGAUGAUGUAUUCCUUCAUAAAAAAGGAUGUUGGAGAAGUUAUUAUUGAAGAGGAGUUCAGUCUCAUGUGAUUCUCAAGAGCUAAAAUGGAACAAGAAGUGCAGGCCUCUCAUGUCUACACUAACUAAUCAGAAAAAACGUGGUAUCAGAAAAGGGCGAAUAGGGGAAGAAUCAACAUAGAUAUUGUCCCGGUUUUAUCCCGUCCUGGAGCUACAAGAAGGCUGGGUGAAGUCUACGAUGGGUUCUUUUCCAAGCAAAGAGAAGGCUGAGGCGACUCUGGUCUACAGCUACAAGAACGCCAUCAGCAGGUUCGGGACGAAGCUCACGCCCGCGCAAGUCGCCGUGUUGAGGAGGUUCUGUUUCUUGAUCCAAGUUUUGGCCGAUGCGGGACCGCCGUGAUGGUAGAUGUCAAUGAGAAUGAGCUUCCAAUGAAGCCGCUGCACUACCCCGCGGUGGCGAUAGGGACUGCAGAGCUACCCCCCAUGGAGACAGCCAGCGCCGAUAGGCAGAUGUGUGUGGUGGAAGGGGGGCUCAUAGCAGCGCAUGGGGAUGGUGAGCCACAAGCAUCUGAGCAGGCUGGACUCGCAGGGUUAGGAUUGGAACUGCUGCUCCAGGAAGGGCACCUUGCCCUGGGCGACCCAACGCUCUUGAGAAGGCAAUACGGGGGUUCGCUGACAAACCGGGUGACAUUGUAAUCGUGCUUGCACUGGGUACAAGCUUUGACACACUCGGGGAGGCCUAUGAUUUUUCCAAUCUCUACUCAUGGGAGAAUUGAUUUGGAAUAAGAUACAGGAAGAGUAUACUGAAUGUGGAGAGGACAAAAUGCAUGCAGGAAAUUGUUUGCGGCUGUGCGGGUAAAGCUGGGGUGGAGAAUAGUAGAUUGUGCCAUGACUGCCCUGCAUUAAUAAGAUGAUCUUCUAAUAUGUUUAUUCAGUGAGGCUCCCACUCAUAACCUGAGUUGUUAUUGUAUUGGUGCCCUGCAAUGAUGUUAAAUCGAGCAACGUAAAUGAAUAUGUCCACUAUGUGGUACUCUUAUUCUUUCCUACUUGUUCACAAAUUGUUUGAUUGAUGCUUGAUGGAAAAAGCUAUUGUUCCUGGACUGAAUGAAGCUGAGAUAUUAUCAUAACUUAAACUUAUAUCAGUGAGAUGUAUAGAAAUUUAAAUGCUGAUUUAGUAAUUAUUUAUUUCUUGUGAUAUUGACAUGCCUUCUCUGAUUCUAAUCUGCAUGAAGUGUGAUACAAGUAUGGUGUUUCCAAUUGUAUGAGUGCUCUGAAGCAACAAUUAGGUAGCUAGAGGUGGAGGCAAAGAGUUCACUCCAAUUAGUUGUCACAGUUUGCCAUUUUGUACAUCUAGAGCUCUCUUAAUAUUGGAACAAUAUAUAUGUGGAUAGCUCUUGUUGUGACCUUGUUUGCUCACCAUUGUCUUUGAAUCGACUAUGAAUUAGAAUGCAUAACUAAGCAUGAUGAUAGUGAUGCUGAAUUUAUUACAUUAGAAGAUAUAUAGGCUCAUGAUAACUGAAUAUGGAUGGCUGAAUAACAGACGGUUACUCACUUUAGUUUGUGACUUGAAAUAUAUCUCACGCAUUGCACAAAACCUUGCAUCUAAUCUAACUAUCAUGUGCCUCUGAAAAUAUAAGAACACUUGACUGCCAUGGGUGUGACUCAUAUCAGUUAGUAUCAAAAUUUAAAUAACUAAUUUACCUUCACAUUUCCAUCUGACUUGGGCUUCAUAUAAUCUGUCAUUUAGUGUUGGGCUGCAUACCUUUUGCAUCAGUACAUAAGAAUUCCGUCAUUCUUCGGAUUGAAUUUAUUUCUAAACAUCUAACAGAAGAGCUCAAUGAAAAAUGACUUCGAUGCAUACAUCUCACUGCAUAAUGAGAAAUUAUGGUCUUUUCAUUGUCUUUGUUUCUGCAUCUUUCUCCAAUUCCCUUAAAAUCUUUUAUGCUACUGUUUGACUAUAACUUUUUCUUUUUCGUUCAGGUGUCACAACAUUAAUUAAGCAACUUUGGGUUGGCUACAAAUGAUGUGCUGAAUUAGCAUUUCUAAGAGAAUGCACUCUAUUAUUUUGGUAUGACUAACUAUAGGAACGAGGUUUCACUAGCAUGAAUAUUUUUUCCUGGUUGCACUACGUGAUUGAAUCCUUACCGGUAGUAGUUGGUUGUACCAUGUAAUUGGAUCUUUAUCAGUAGUAGUAGCAUAACUAAGUCAUGGAGCUCUGUAUUUUGUUACUGGAGAUCUGUUUAUCUGGUUGCUAACUGGUAAUAAUAUCUAAGAUUUUUAUUCUUAUAUACUAUACUUCAUUGACUUCAUGAUGUCAAUACGUGCCUGCUACUGGUAGCUUCCGGUUAGUUCUGUUCUUGUGUAUUCUAAGAAUAUAUGAUAUUUACUUCUCUUUUUUGUCUAGUUAAUUUUUGAAAUAAUAUACAGAAACAUUUGCUCAAAUUUAUUGUACAUUUUCUCAAUUGUUAAUCUCUCUGCACAAGCUAUGUGCAUCAACAGGCUUACUGGUUUGUUGGCACCAAAAAAGCGGAAGGAGAUGGGGCAGCCAACAACUAGCUGAGAGAAGGCGCCAACGAGGGGCUCAACAAAUGGACAAGGUUCUGCACGAUAUGUCGCCAGCAGGAACAUAAGAGGACAACCUGCCCGGACCGGGGCCAUAUCCCGAAGCCUGUUCGUAAACCGGUCAGGUGCGCAAACUGUGGCACUGAAUGUCACAGGCGAAACAACUGCAAAAGAGUAUAGGCGAUUUGCGGAUAAACAACAUGUGAGGACUGACCACAAUGUCCCUGACCAAGCUAUCUGUUUGAUCGUUUCUUUACUGUAGACCAUUGUGUGUAGCUAAGUGUGUGCGGCGAGAAUGUGUUGGAUUUCCUAUAAAAUCUGUCUUGUUUGCAUGCUUGUUGAAUGUAAUGCAGUGCUGAUGGACGUGUUAAUGACUCGUUUCUGAACAAAAUGAAACUCCUCUGCGUGUAUGUUCAAACUGAUACCAGCUUAGAAUGGAUGAUGUCUGUUUCUGAAUUUUUUGUCA